CCGUAAUCUCUUCUCUUUGGUAAAUGAUAUAAUUUAAUGAUGGACUUUAAAGGAGGUCAACCGUGUAUGUUGUGGGAAACCUGUGAAGGAGGCUAUGGGUGUAUGUUGUGGGAAACCCGUUAAGGAGGUUAUGGGUGUAUGUUGUGGGAAACUCAUGAAGGAGGUUUUGGGUGUAUGUUGUGGGAAAACUGUUAAGGAGGUUAUGAGUGUAUGUUGUGGGAAACUCGUGAAGGAGGUUAUGGGUGUAUGUUGUGGGAAACUCAUGAAGGAGGUUUUGGUGUAUGUUGUGGGAAACCUGUUAAGGAGGUUAUGAGUGUAUGUUGUGGGAAACUCGUGAAGGAGGUUAUGGGUGUAUGUUGUGGGAAACCUGUUAAGGAGGUUAUGGGUGUAUGUUGUGGGAAACCCGUGAAGGAGAUUAUGGGUGUAUGUUGUGGGAAAC